rnacentral:lncRNA from 1 species
AUAGAUUUGGUUAUCAUAUUGGUUCAUAUUUUAUAUAUAUUCCUGUGAAAGGGCUAAUAUGAUGAUGCAUGUACUGAGGUACAGAGAUUUUGACCAUCUGUACUUUUCAACUACAGCGGUCACAUAGAUCAGUGCAACCCCAUAGAGUCAAAAAAUAAAUCAGUAAAGUUAGUAAGUGGAAAAGAUCCUUUAGGACAUCAUGAUUGCUAUUUCCAAAACUUAAAGGCAAACGUAGAAGAUUCUCAUCAAAAUUGGGCCAUAUGUAUUUAGAUUAUAACUUUCAUAUGAAUGUCUUUGAACUAGCAAUUUAAAAUAAUUUAUUUUCUUUGCUUUUCAAUCUGAUUUGAAAG